rnacentral:rRNA from 1 species
UAGCUAGUUGGUGAGGUAAAGGCUUACCAAGGCGACGAUCUGUAGCGGGUCUGAGAGGAUGAUCCGCCACACUGGAACUGAGACACGGUCCAGACUCCUACGGGAGGCAGCAGUGGGGAAUUUUGGACAAUGGGGGCAACCCUGAUCCAGCCAUGCCGCGUGAGUGAAGAAGGCCUUCGGGUUGUAAAGCUCUUUCGGCCGGGAAGAAAUCGCAUGGGCCAAUACCCUGUGUGGAUGACGGUACCGGAAUAAGAAGCACCGGCUAACUACGUGCCAGCAGCCGCGGUAAUACGUAGGGUGCGAGCGUUAAUCGGAAUUACUGGGCGUAAAGCGUGCGCAGGCGGUUUUGUAAGACAGGCGUGAAAUCCCCGGGCUUAACCUGGGAACUGCGUUUGUGACUGCAAGGCUAGAGUACGGCAGAGGGGGGUGGAAUUCCACGUGUAGCAGUGAAAUGCGUAGAGAUGUGGAGGAACACCAAUGGCGAAGGCAGCCCCCUGGGUCGAUACUGACGCUCAUGCACGAAAGCGUGGGUAGCAAACAGGAUUAGAUACCCUGGUAGUCCACGCCCUAAACUAUGUCAACUAGGUGUUGGGUGGGUAAAACCAUUUAGUACCGUAGCUAACGCGUGAAGUUGACCGCCUGGGGAGUACGGCCGCAAGGUUAAAACUCAAAGGAAUUGACGGGGACCCGCACAAGCGGUGGAUUAUGUGGAUUAAUUCGAUGCAACGCGAAAAACCUUACCUACCCUUGACAUGCCAGGAACUUGCCAGAGAUGGCUUGGUGCCCGAAAGGGAGCCUGGACACAGGUGCUGCAUGGCUGUCGUCAGCUCGUGUCGUGAGAUGUUGGGUUUAGUCCCGCAACGAGCGCAACCCUUGUCGUUAAUUGCCAUCAUUUAGUUGGGCACUUUAACGAGACUGCCGGUGACAAACCGGAGGAAGGUGGGGAUGACGUCAAGUCCUCAUGGCCCUUAUGGGUAGGGCUUCACACGUCAUACAAUGGUCGGUACAAAGGGUUGCCAAGCCGCGAGGCGGAGCCAAUCCCAGAAAGCCGAUCGUAGUCCGGAUUGCAGGCUGCAACUCGCCUGCAUGAAGUCGGAAUCGCUAGUAAUCGUGGAUCAGCAUGUCACGGUGAAUACGUUCCCGGGUCUUGUACACACCGCCCGUCACACCAUGGGAGCGGGUUCCGCCAGAAGUAGGUAGCCUAACCGCAAGGGGGGCGCUUACCACGGCGGGGUUCGUGACUGGGGUGAAGUCGUAACAAGGUAGCCGUAGGGGAACCUGCGGCUG